rnacentral:misc_RNA from 1 species
CACGCUUAUAUCUUUAAACAUUUGUUUGAUUGCACUAAAAAAGAAAUAGUUUGCACUUAUAAAAAGAAAUUAGUAUUACCAAAAAUAAAAAAAUUGGAAUACAUAUCAAAGUUCCAAAUUCGGGCGGCAGAAUGCAGCACACACCUUACCUCAGGUUCUCCAACAUUGAAAGGAAUGCUGGGAUGAGACAUUAUUCUUAAUUACCAAGUAGUGCUAGAAACCGAUGUUGAAGAAGAUGCAGCAGCAACAUCCUGAAGGUAUAAUUCAGUUUCUUCCCAAAUUUCUUCAACAUAUACAUUUUCAUGAGAAUACCGAAUCGUCUCCAACUCCAGUGUUACUUGUUUCAUUGUAGGCCGUUUCUUUCCAUUAAGGUUUAGGCAUCUCUUUGCAAGGUUAGCAACAGCCAUGACUUCUUCUUUGAUGGAAUAUUGCUCUAUAAUUCGAGGGUCGAUUAUCUCAAAAAGUUUGUUAUUUUCCAUCAUUUGAAUAAAAAUUGUUGCUAAACUAGUUACUUCCUCGGACUUUGCUGAGCAAAUUGGCUCUUGUCCAGUCAACAGCUCAACAAGCACUACCCCAAAACUAUAAACAUCACUUUUCUCUGUA